CAUUUUUAGUUUUCUCUGGCUCUCUCAGUCUCUGGCUCUCCGUCUAUCAAAAAUCCGUCUAUGAAAUCAGUCCGAUCAGCUGUGGUCUUUAUACCGAUUCAGAUUCGUCCACUCUCAUGGAAGAAGAAAUCGAAUCAAUCCCGUAAGAAGAAGGAGAUGAAGAAGAAGAAUGAUUAUGAUGAUAUCAAGGAGGGAUUUGACCAUUGAACCAUCCAAGGAUAGGCAAUUGACGAAGAAGAUGAAGAAGGUGAGGAAGAAGAAGAAGAUGAUGAUGAUGAUGAUGAUGAUGAUGAUGGGUGAUCGACAAGGUAUCUGUCUCAACUCCUCUUCUGAUAUUAAAAAUUGAAAAUUAGGGUUUUGAUUUUGGGGGUCAAAAUAGUUGACCCGAAAGUCAGAAAAAAGAGAGUGGCCCUUAAAGUGAAUUAACCUGUAAAUAACGAAUUACUGUUUUUAUAAAAAGAGCGCCAUUUUUUUCCAUGUCUAUUCUCUUCACAAAUAGUACCCGAGUAGUUCUUGAAUUCUCUUAGAGAUCAUACUUAAAUCAAAACCUAAUUACAACAAAGAAAAAUAUCUUCUUCAUCAUCAUCAUAUUGAGAAUAUAGCAAUCUCUUUGUUUGAAAUCGUUUCUUUGUCAAAUUUAUCAUCAUCUUUUUUGUAUAUUUAUCUGUCUAUAUUCUGCAUCUACCGAACCCUUUGUAUAUGUAUGUAUUGGGCCCUGAUGUCGAGAAAAGUUUAGCUCACUCAGUGUUCUGCUCCAGAAGUUGUUGUAGGAGGUUAGUGCUUUCUGUGGGUUUUUCCUUUUCUGUAGUAAAUAGAAUUCCUACUAAGAAAAGUUAGUGGGUACUUGGCUCAGGUAAACGUAUUUGCUGAUUUGGAUUCUGUUGUACAUGAGUAGAAAGAAUCUAAAAUAAAUUUAUGAUGUCGAUGAGAUUCCCCUUUAAUGAAGUGAUAUUUGUGUUCCAGCGGGAUACAAAUGAUGUACCGCUCUUAGUGAGCUGAGGUUGAUGUGGUCAUUAUUGAAAUUUGGAGAAAUGUAUAAGCAUUUAUGUAAGUGAGUACAUGAUCUCACUUGGGUUCUUCCCAGCAUUCUGAUGAGCUCUCUAAAUGACAUUGACAAGAUAUUACAUUGUUAAACGCGACCCACUGUGGCAUAAGACAGUGAUGCCUCCAGGGCCAGGCUAGGUUCCAAGCAAAUGUUUGAUAAGCAAUACCUUGUCAAAUGGAAAGGAAUAUCAUAUCUGCACUGCACAGCACAUGGUAAUUCCUCCCAGACACUGAUUAGGGUGCUUGAGAAGUAAUUUCUUAAGGAUUUUAAGACACAUUCUGGUCUGAGGAGUCAAGUAAAUAAAUUUAAUAAAAAGUCCACGACUGUGAAUUACUCCGACAAUGACGUCGUGGCAAUUCGCCCCUACAUGAAGAAGACCUUCAGAAAAAGAGCAUUUAGUGAGAUAUAUCAUGUUCUUAGGUGUCUGAUAUGUAUUAUAGCUAAAUUCGUCAUUACAUUUGUCUUUAUCUUGGUACUAUUAAUUUUAUGAUCGAGCCAACCCUAUAGAACCACUUCUGUUAUUCGACCUUUAGAAUUCAUUGUUGUUUAGAAAAAGGAACCACAUCUUUGGUCCUAUGUCUUAAAGUCCUUGUCUUAUUUUCAGCCCUCUUUAGAAUGUCGGCUAGUGUUUUUGUUAACCUGCGUGGUGUUUGGGAGCCUGUUUAGUUUUUAAGCACCAGGACGUGUUAAUGCCCUCUCUUCAUCAUUUGACAUUCCGCCCCCUUUAUCAAGCUGGGGAACAAGGAAAGAAUACUUCUAUUCUUAACUGAAGGAUAGGAUAGUCUCCAAUUAUGGCAAUUUGCUUAACGAAGUGGGCUUUUCCAACUUGUAGAAAUACCUGGUGACAUCACGUCCCUGUUUCUCUUUCCUCAGUACCAAGGCAUUAUUUUAGAACCUCCUGGUUUAUGUUCAGCUCAGUUUGUAUCUCUCAGUGAAAACUAAAGAUACAAACUGGGAAUGCGAAUUUGGACCUGGCCUCCCCACGGAAGUGUGGUAUGUAUUAUGGGAACUUAUCAAAACACUUUGAUGUGCUUAUUGGUAAUGAAACUCCUCAUCCAUUGUCCUGGUCAGCCAUACAGUGUGAGUACCUUCACAGUAUUUUUUUUUUUUUAUGUUGCAGAAUUAUUUUUGAGUUUCCUGGCAUUGAGUGAAAAAAAAGGCCAUAAUCAGUUUGGAGUUUUUUUUUUUUUUGGUAAGAAUCAAUUUGGAGUUUCAGCAUGCCAGCAAUGUUAGUCAGGUGUAAACAUUUACUCCUAAGCUGUGAGCUUUCUGUGUGUGCACGUGAGCUCACUAAGCUGUCUAUGCUGCACGUGUGUGUCCUCGCGUAUCUCACAUUAUUUGUACACUACGUCAAUUUAUAUUCCAUAUACAUCAGUGAAUGAUCCGAACACCAA